rnacentral:rRNA from 1 species
UGAGGGAAAGUUGCAAAGAACUUGAAGAGAGAGUUCAAGAGUACGUGAAACUGUCCAGAGGUAAACGGGUGGGCCCUCGAAAUCCUCCUGCGGGGAGAUUCAGUCGGUCCCGGUGCGAGGCAGGCGUCGUCACGUUCCGCGGUGUUUCCGCCCGGCUCGCCUUAACAGCGGUGUCGGAGCGGGCACACGGACGUGGCGCGUCGACCGGCCCGGCGACCGACGCACUUCUCUCCCGCACCGAGGACGCCGCAACCGGUCGGGUAGCAGCGAGAGUCGGCCUUAAGGGGAGACCGGAGGUAGGACACACGAGGGGUGGACACUUCUCGUCGUGUCCGAAACCUCUCCCUGCGUGGCGCGACACCCGACCGAGGUGUGCCGCGUACUCUUCCUGUCGUUUCGACAGCGGUCACCGGUUCCGGGCUGGCAGCGGGAUACCGACGGGUCCACCAUUAGCGGUGGCCGUCGCCUCGCUCGCCGCCGUCGGGUCCCGGUCGAAGACCGCGGAGGAGASCGSC